UACGGGGGGGGCAAGCGUUGUUCGGAAUUACUGGGCGUAAAGGGCUCGUAGGCGGUCAACUAAGUCAGAUGUGAAAUCCCUCGGCUUAACCGGGGAACUGCGUCUGAUACUGGAUGACUUGAGAUUGGGAGAGGGAUGCGGAAUUCCAGGUGUAGCGGUGAAAUGCGUAGAUAUCUGGAGGAACACCGGUGGCGAAGGCGAGUCCCUGGACAACACCUGACGCUGAGGCACGAAAGCGAGGGGAGCAAACAGG
rnacentral:rRNA from 1 species